rnacentral:rRNA from 1 species
AUUGAACGCUGGCGGCAUGCUUUACACAUGCAAGUCGAACGGCAGCGCGGGCUUCGGCCUGGCGGCGAGUGGCGAACGGGUGAGUAAUGCAUCGGAACGUGCCCAGUAGUGGGGGAUAGCCCGGCGAAAGCCGGAUUAAUACCGCGUACGACCUGAGGGUGAAAGCGGGGGACCGAAAGGCCUCGCGCUAUUGGAGCGGCCGAUGUCGGAUUAGCUAGUUGGUGGGGUAAAGGCUUACCAAGGCGACGAUCCGUAGCUGGUGUGAGAAGACGACCAGCCACACUGGGACUGAGACACGGCCCAGACUCCUACGGGAGGCAGCAGUGGGGAAUUUUGGACAAUGGGGGCAACCCUGAUCCAGCCAUGCCGCGUGCGGGAAGAAGGCCUUCGGGUUGUAAACCGCUUUUGUUCGGGAAGAAAUCCUCUGGGCUAAUACCCCGGGGGGAUGACGGUACCGGAAGAAUAAGCACCGGCUAACUACGUG